rnacentral:tRNA from 2 species
UGGGCUAUAGCCAAGCGGUAAGGCAACGGACUUUGACUUCGUGACUCGUUGGUUCGAAUCCAACUAGCCCAG